GACGUAGGGCGCGAGCGUUGUCCGGAUUUAUUGGGCGUAAAGAGCUCGUAGGCGGCUUGUCGCGUCGACUGUGGAAAUCCCGCGGCUCAACCGCGGGUCUGCAGUCGAUACGGGCAGGCUAGAGUUCGGUAGGGGAGACUGGAAUUCCUGGUGUAGCGGUGAAAUGCGCAGAUAUCAGGAAGAACACCGAUGGCGAAGGCAGGUCUCUGGGCCGAUACUGACGCUGAGGAGCGAAAGCGUGGGGAGCGAACGGG
rnacentral:rRNA from 1 species